rnacentral:rRNA from 1 species
CUACGGGAUGCUGCAGUGGGGGAUAUUGCACAAUGGGCGAAAGCCUGAUGCAGCAACGCCGCGUGAAGGAAGACGGAUUUCGGUCUGUAAACUUCUAUCAGCAGGGAAGAAAAUGACUGUACCUGACUAAGAAGCCCCGGCUAACUAUGUGCCAGCAGCCGCGGUAAUACGUAGGGGGCAAGCGUUAUCCGGAAUUACUGGGUGUAAAGGGUACGUAGGCGGCUGAUCAAGUCAGAUGUGAAAGCCCGGGGCUCAACCCCGGGACUGCAUUUGAAACUGGUCGGCUAGAGUGCAGGAGAGGAAAGUGGAAUUCCUAGUGUAGCGGUGAAAUGCGUAGAUAUUAGGAAGAACACCAGUGGCGAAGGCGGCUUUCUGGACUGUAACUGACGCUGAGGUACGAAAGCGUGGGGAGCGAACAGGAUUAGAUACCCUAGUAGUC